rfam:Pteropus alecto contig96157, whole genome shotgun sequence.
GUGCUUGCCUCAGCAGCACAUAUACUAAAAUCAGAAUGAUACAAAGAUUAGCAUGACCCCUGUGCAAGGAUGACAUGCAAAUUCAUGAAGUGUUCCAUGUUUUA